rnacentral:rRNA from 1 species
UACGUAGGGGGCUAGCGUUGUCCGGAAUCAUUGGGCGUAAAGAGCGUGUAGGCGGUCCGGUAAGUCCGCUGUGAAAGUCGGGGGCUCAACCCUCGAAUGCCGGUGGAUACUGUCGGGCUAGAGUGCGGAAGAGGCGAGUGGAAUUCCUGGUGUAGCGGUGAAAUGCGCAGAUAUCAGGAGGAACACCUAUGGCGAAGGCAGCUCGCUGGGACGUGACUGACGCUGAGACGCGAAAGCGUGGGGAGCAAACAGG